rnacentral:tRNA from 1 species
GGGGGUGUAGCUCAGUUGGUAGAGUGCUUGCCUCCCAUGCACAAGGCCCUGGGUUCAAUCCCCAGCAUCACAA